UACGGGGGGAGCAAGCGUUGUUCGGAUUUACUGGGCGUAAAGGGCGCGUAGGCGGCCACCGCAAGUCGACUGUGAAAUCUCCGGGCUUAACUCGGAAAGGUCAGCCGAUACUGCGGGGCUAGAGUGCAGAAGGGGCAACUGGAAUUCUCGGUGUAGCGGUGAAAUGCGUAGAUAUCGAGAGGAACACCUGCGGCGAAGGCGGGUUGCUGGGCUGACACUGACGCUGAUUGUGCGAAGGCUAGGGGAGCGAACGGG
rnacentral:rRNA from 1 species